rnacentral:rRNA from 1 species
AUUGAACGCUGGCGGCAGGCCUAACACAUGCAAGUCGAGCGGCAGCGACUUAACUGAACCUUCGGGGAACGUUAAGGGCGGCGAGCGGCGGACGGGUGAGUAAUGCCUGGGGAUAUGCCCUGAUGUGGGGGAUAACUAUUGGAAACGAUAGCUAAUACCGCAUAAUCUCUUCGGAGCAAAGAGGGGGACCUUCGGGCCUCUCGCGUCAGGACUAGCCCAGGUGGGAUUAGCUUGUUGGUGAGGUAAUGGCUCACCAAGGCUACGAUCCCUAGCUGGUCUGAGAGGAUGAUCAGCCACACUGGAACUGAGACACGGUCCAGACUCCUACGGGAGGCAGCAGUGGGGAAUAUUGCACAAUGGGGGAAACCCUGAUGCAGCCAUGCCGCGUGUGUGAAGAAGGCCUUCGGGUUGUAAAGCACUUUCAGUAGGGAGGAAGGUAGUGUAGUUAACACCUGCAUUAUUUGACGUUACCUACAGAAGAAGCACCGGCUAACUCCGUGCCAGCAGCCGCGGUAAUACGGAGGGUGCGAGCGUUAAUCGGAAUUACUGGGCGUAAAGCGCAUGCAGGCGGCCUGUUAAGUCAGAUGUGAAAGCCCGGGGCUUAACCUCGGAAUUGCAUUUGAAACUGGCAGGCUAGAGUCUUGUAGAGGGGGGUAGAAUUUCAGGUGUAGCGGUGAAAUGCGUAGAGAUCUGAAGGAAUACCAGUGGCGAAGCGGCCCCCUGGACAAAGACUGACGCUCAGAUGCGAAAGCGUGGGGAGCAAACAGG